UACGGGGGGAGCAAGCGUUGUUCGGAUUUACUGGGCGUAAAGGGCGCGUAGGCGGUCACUACAAGUCAGUUGUGAAAUCUCUGGGCUUAACUCAGAACGGUCAACUGAUACUGCUGUGCUAGAGUGCAGAAGGGGCAAUCGGAAUUCUUGGUGUAGCGGUGAAAUGCGUAGAUAUCAAGAGGAACACCUGAGGUGAAGACGGGUUGCUGGGCUGACACUGACGCUGAUGCGCGAAAGCCAGGGGAGCAAACGGG
rnacentral:rRNA from 1 species